rnacentral:rRNA from 1 species
CCUUACCUGGCCUUGACAUACUAAGAACUUUCCAGAGAUGGAUUGGUGCCUUCGGGAACUUAGAUACAGGUGCUGCAUGGCUGUCGUCAGCUCGUGUCGUGAGAUGUUGGGUUAAGUCCCGCAACGAGCGCAACCCUUUUCCUUAUUGCCAGCGGGUUAAGCCGGGAACUUUAAGGAUACUGCCAGUGACAAACUGGAGGAAGGCGGGGACGACGUCAAGUCAUCAUGGCCCUUACGGCCAGGGCUACACACGUGCUACAAUGGUCGGUACAAAGGGUUGCUACCUCGCGAGAGGAUGCUAAUCUCAAAAAGCCGAUCGUAGUCCGGAUCGCAGUCUGCAACUCGACUGCGUGAAGUCGGAAUCGCUAGUAAUCGCGGAGCAGAAUGCCGCGGUGAAUACGUUCCCGGGCCUUGUACACACCGCCCGUCACACCAUGGGAGUUUGUUGCACCAGAAGUAGGUAGUCUAACCGCAAGGAGGACGCUUACCACGGUGUGGCCGAUGACUGGGGUGAAGUCGUAACAAGGUAGGCGUAGAUGA